GACAAUGCCUGCAGGUUCCUUAUGGCAUUAGGUAUUAUAAGCCGAUGUAUGGAAAGCUCACUGCCCGGUGCUUUGGGGAGAGUUGUUUUUAGAAAGUCACUUUGAUUAUGAGAUUUCACUCCAAUAAGUACAGUUAUGGUCGACCAGUAGACUCUGCCUCUCGCUAAUUUCAGUCAGGAAGGUGUACCUUAGUGGUUCAUGUCUGGCACCUUAAUGCGAAGGUGAGUUUUGAAAAUGGAACCACAUUGAGUUUUGAAAAUGGAACCACAUUGGGCGUGGUGGUGCACGCCUUUAAUCCCAGCACUCGGGAAACAGAGGCAGGCGGAUUUCUGAGUUCGAGGCCAGCCUGGUCUACAGAGUGAGUUCCAGGACAGCCAGGCACAUAUACUUUAAAAUAUUCACCUAGAUACUACAGGAAGAUUAAAUUCUCUACUUCAAUAACAUCCCUUGACUUUGACUAAUAUUCUCUAUUAUAUGUCAUACACCCAAAUAUGCUAAUCAAAUAAAAUGCAUUUAGGCCUUCUUUCUCAAGAAAGUUCUAGCACUCAAGUCUAACACCUAAGCAUGGCUUAUCUGUCUUCCAGACAGUCUUGCUUCUUGACUGACUUGUCCCACACCUUCACUGGCCAAGGUGUGACCGUUGCCAUGGCAAUGAGUGAUGCUCUUGCCUGACCCUCUGGUUCAGUGUGGCUUUUGAACUAGCUGUCUCCUGACUUGCAGUGUACUAAGGUGUGAGUGGCUCUAACUACCUUCGAUUUGCAUCCAAUUAAAAAAUAACCCUUCCUGCUCCUGUGUCUUAAGGUCCUGACCCAGGACUUGGAAGGUGGCAAGGAGUCACAGCCAGUUUAUGUGUUUGUUCCGACCAUUUCAGAUGUUCCUGGUCUUGGCUUAGACCCACCUGGAUGCAACUGAGUCUUACAUCGCUGUCUUAGGACAUGGCAGACAAGGCAGAUGCAUAAGACAGAGGCUGGUGGUGACUGUCCUGUCAUCUACAAGAGAUAUAAUGUAUAGAAAUACUCUUUGUUCACAGACACUACCCCAGUCUUCACAGCAUGGACAUGAUUUUCUCUAGCCUUCCUUGUACCCAUGGGAAGUUACUAAAUGUUAGGAAGGCUACCCUGCUAUUUUACAAACAGAGUAGCAUGAAACCACAAGACAAAACAAAGUCUUCAAAGUCUUGUCCCUGCCUACCUGUCUCUAGGUGUUGCUAGUAAGCCUUUGGAGAAAUAUGCAAAUAUAUGUUCAUAGUUCCCACUGGAUAUGUGUCCCUCAGCCAGUGUCCCUCACAGAAUCUAUGAAAAUAUUUGAUAGAUCUAAACCUACAUUUCCACAAGGGAAACUUACCACCCCCACACUGUAAGUUCUGAUUGGCACCUCUGGAAAGACCAAAUGUUUGGUCUUGACCCUGUCCUCCGACAAAAGCUGAUUGGGGUAUCUAGACAGUAAGUCUUUAGACUAAGUCCUGGGAGGAAGAAGGCAUUCUCUCUCACUUGAGGGUUUGUGGUGGGGGCCAAUCUGGUAAAAAAAUUCUCCUUGAGUGUAUUUCAAGCUUAUUGGAUUUUUAUAUCUUUUGGCUCUGAAACAAUUAGGGAAGAGAUUUUGCUUAAAGUGUUCCGUGAUCUCGACUCAACCAAAUUGUUUUCUGUUGCUGCUGUUUGUUGAUUUAGAUUAGGCUCCUCCCCAACCAGCACGCUGAUUUAAUCAAUUCCUGCCAGCAUUCGAUCUAGCCUAAUCAUAUCUUGUGACGGUGUAGUUUUUCCCUCAACCCUGACAUACUAUUGAAGUGGCGAACUUAAAGAAAGAAACAUUCUACAUAUCGGUGAGGGGCGUGGAAGGAUACAUUUUUGCAAAUCCUGUGGCCCUCAGUGACUUAAAACAAAAAUGAUUCUUUCGUAAGGGCCACGUGUCAUAAAGGCACGAGUGUGUUCAGUCAUCUGUCGAACGCUUCCACGCUGACAUUUAAACUCUCUCUCCUCUCACUAGCAGACUCUGUCAUUUCCUUCCCCUGGAAAGGACUAUCAAACUUUAGGUCUGUGUUUCUUUUUCUUUUCCUGGCACUUGAUGGAAUAUCAGCAACCAAUGAGCUAAGCACUAGGGUUGUGGAGAUCUGCUUGUUAUUAUUUGCUUUCCACUUACUGUAUUUGAAAAACAUCAGCACAAGGAAAAGCCAGUGAGUUAGUGUGUUACCCUUUCCAGCAUCUACUAAGAAUAAAGAACAGCUCUUAGUUACCACCACGUCCUCUCCAGUGGCACUAAUAUCACCCAGAAAGACAGAGGACAGUGUGGAUUCAGAGCUGCAUGGGAAAAACCAACCCAGCCGCGAGAUUUACAGAUAUUGUCAACUGAAUCUUGGCUGCUGAGCAGGGAUAGCAGGUGUAAGCCGUGCCAGAUAUUAAUGCCUAAUUAAUAGUGAGAGGCUGCAUCUUGUGAUGGAAUCAACAAGUCAAGAAAGAUUAUCCAGAGAGGGAAAGGAAGGGAGACGUCGCUGGUGGGAUUUUAUUUUCUGCCUUUCGCUCUGCAAGCGUCAUCUGAUGCAGUUCCUCGUGUGCAGCCUCCGAUGGUUUCUCCUUGUCUUUCCUGUCUAUUGAGAAGCACACUAAGUCCAUUUGCUGGCCGGUAGGCAGUAGAGGUGAGAAUUGAAUUGAUCGCAAAUGCUCCGAGAAAUUGACCCUGAGGUCGUCUUCCCUUAAAUUGGGUUCCACACACAAAGUUCCUUUUCUUCCCUGGCUCCUGCAGCAGAAUUGAGUUGUGGGGGGCUGUAAUUAUUUAAAGGAAUUCUUAGGCACCGGAGUUGACUGUCCCUCUGUACCCUUAAUCAAAAUAGAGACCUUUUGUUACGGCCAGUAGUUAAUUAAAGGGCUGGCGUCUAUACCACUGUGGUGUGCCUCUGGCUUGUUUAUAUUUUAAAAUGAGGUCCAUGCCUGAUGUACACGAAGAAAGGGGACCAAAGCUUCUGUGGGGUUAUCAACUGUCCUGAACGGUUAGAAUAGAGUAGAGCAGAUUAGGACCGGACAGAACAACAGAAUUCUCUUUUUACCUUUGUUAUUUCUCUGCCUCUUUCUGUUUCCCCUGUGUCUCCUAUUCCCUCCUCCUCGUUUUCCCCCUCCACUCUCCUCCUCUUCUUCUCCCUCCUAUUCCCUCACUCCUUCGCACACCCUGCAAUGGGAAACAUGGGUCCCUACCAGAGCUCUCAAGGCAUACAGUAUGCUUCGCAAAGUGGGAGUCUGGUGCUGCAUUUACGAGAGAACGCGCCUGCAGAUGGCAUGUUCGGAGCCUCUCCUUUUCUGGUCACAAAGGGUUGCAGAGAGACCAGAAAUUCCUGUACCCAAUGCUGACUUUUGUGACGCAUGCUAAGAGCUGCUUUCUUGUCCUGUGCUUCGGUGGCUAGCUCACACUUGAAGUUCUGGGCUGAUGCUCAAAGGCUGUUGUGGUGUGAUUUCUUAUUUUGUUAAUAUCUUUCAUUCCUUUUCCUCCUGCUCCUCUCUCCCCGUUCCUCUUCCUUUCUUUCCU
rnacentral:lncRNA from 1 species